UACGGGGGGAGCAAGCGUUGUUCGGAUUUACUGGGCGUAAAGGGCGCGUAGGCGGCCACCGCAAGUCAGUUGUGAAAUCUCUGGGCUUAACCCAGAAAGGUCAACUGAUACUGCGGGGCUAGAGUGCAGAAGGGGCAACUGGAAUUCUCGGUGUAGCGGUGAAAUGCGUAGAUAUCGAGGGGAACACCUGCGGCGAAGGCGGGUUGCUGGGCUGACACUGACGCUGAGGCGCGAAAGCUAGGGGAGCGAACGGG
rnacentral:rRNA from 1 species